CCCCUAGUAACUGCGAGUGAAGBGGGAAAAGCUCAAAUUUAAAAUCUGGCGGCCUUUGGUUGUCCGAGUUGUAAUCUAGAGAAGUGUUAUCCGCGCUGGACCCGUGUACAAGUCUCCUGGAAUGGAGCGUCAUAGAGGGUGAGAAUCCCGUCUUUGACACGGACUGCCAGGGCUUUGUGAUGCGCUCUCAAAGAGUCGAGUUGUUUGGGAAUGCAGCUCAAAAUGGGUGGUAAAUUCCAUCUAAAGCUAAAUAUUGGCGAGAGACCGAUAGCGAACAAGUACCGUGAGGGAAAGAUGAAAAGAACUUUGGAAAGAGAGUUAAACAGUACGUGAAAUUGCUGAAAGGGAAACGCUUGAAGUCAGUCGCGUUGUCCAGGGAUCAACCUUGCUUUUGCUUGGUGCACUUUCUGGUUGACGGGUCAGCAUCAAUUUUGACUAUUGGAAAAAGAUUAGGGGAAUGUGGCAUCUUCGGAUGUGUUAUAGCCCUUGGUUGCAUACAAUGGUUGGGAUUGAGGAACUCAGCACGCCGCAAGGCCGGGUUUUUAACCACGUACGUGCUUAGGAUGCUGGCAUAAUGGCUUUAAUCGACCCGUCUUGAAACACGGACCAAGGAGUCUAACAUGCCUGCGAGUGUUUGGGUGGAAAACCCGAGCGCGUAAUGAAAGUGAAAGUUGAGAUCCCUGUCGUGGGGAGCAUCGACGCCCGGACCAGACCUUUUGUGACGGCUCCGCGGUAGAGCAUGUAUGUUGGGACCCGAAAGAUGGUGAACUAUGCCUGAAUAGGGUGAAGCCAGAGGAAACUCUGGUGGAGGCUCGUAGCGAUUCUGACGUGCA
rnacentral:rRNA from 1 species